UACGUAGGGUGCAAGCGUUGUCCGGAAUUAUUGGGCGUAAAGAGCUCGUAGGCGGUCUGUUGCGUCGGCUGUGAAAACCCGGGGCUCAACUCCGGGCCUGCAGCCGAUACGGGCAGACUAGAGUUCGGCAGGGGAGACUGGAAUUCCUGGUGUAGCGGUGAAAUGCGUAGAUAUCAGGAGGAACACCGGUGGCGAAGGCGGGUCUCUGGGCCGAUACUGACGCUGAGGUGCGAAAGCGUGGGGAGCGAACGGG
rnacentral:rRNA from 1 species